UACGUAGGUGGCAAGCGUUGUCCGGAUUUAUUGGGCGUAAAGGGAGCGCAGGCGGUGACUUAAGUCUGAUGUGAAAGCCCACGGCUCAACCGUGGAAGGUCAUUGGAAACUGGGUCACUUGAAUAUAGAAGAGGAAAGUGGAAUUCCAUGUGUAGCGGUGAAAUGCGUAGAUAUAUGGAGGAACACCAGUGGCGAAGGCGACUUUCUGGUCUAUUAUUGACGCUGAGGCUCGAAAGCAUGGGUAGCAAACAGGAUUAGAUACCCGUGUA
rnacentral:rRNA from 1 species